UAAAACCUUCAGAAGGAAAGGAGAAUGUUUUGCGGACCAUUUGUCUUUGUGUGUG
rnacentral:miRNA from 1 species